rnacentral:rRNA from 1 species
AGAAUCAACGCUGGCGGCGUGCCUAACACAUGCAAGUCGAACGAGAAAGUGGAGCAAUCCAUGAGUAAAGUGGGCGCACGGGUGAGUAACACGUGACUAACCUACCCUUGAGUGGGGGAUAACCUAGGGAAACCUGGGCUAAUACCGCAUAAUACCUUCGGGUCAAAGGAGCAAUUCGCUUAAGGAGGGGUCGCGGCCGAUUAGUUAGUUGGCGGGGUAAUGGCCCACCAAGACUAUGAUCGGUAU